rnacentral:rRNA from 1 species
AUGCAGUCGACGAAGUAGCAAUACUUAGUGGCAAACGGGUGAGUAACAUGUGGGUAUCUGCCCUUUGGCCUGGAAUAACACGGGGAAACUUGUGCUAAUACCGGAUAAGUCUUUUAAGAGAAAGCUUUAUGCACCAAUGGAUGAGCCCGCACCUGAUUAGUUAGUUGGUGGGGUAAUGGCUUACCAAGACAAUGAUCAGUAGCUGAUUUGAGAGGAUGAUCAGCCACAUUGGGACUGAGACACGGCCCAAACUCCUACGGGAGGCAGCAGUGGGGAAUCUUGCACAAUGGGGGAAACCCUGAUGCAGCGAUGCCGCGUGAGUGAAGAAGGCCCUUGGGUUGUAAAGCUCUUUCGUCGGGGAAGAAAAUGACUGUACCCGAAUAAGAAGGUCCGGCUAACUUCGUGCCAGCAGCCGCGGUAAUACGAAGGGACCUAGCGUAGUUCGGAAUUACUGGGCUUAAAGAGUUCGUAGGUGGUUAAAAUAGUUGGUGGUGAAAUCCCAGAGCUUAACUCUGGAACUGCCAUCAAAACUUUUUAGCUAGAGUAUGAUAGAGGAAAGUAGAAUUUCUAGUGUAGAGGUGAAAUUCGUAGAUAUUAGAAAGAAUACCAAUUGCGAAGGCAGCUUUCUGGAUCAUUACUGACACUGAGGAACGAAAGCAUGGGUAGCGAAGAGGAUUAGAUACCCUCGUAGUCCAUGCCGUAAACGAUGUGUGCUAGACGUUGGAAAUUUUAUUUUCAGUGUCGCAGCAAAAGCGAUAAGCACACC